rnacentral:rRNA from 1 species
GAUGAACGCUGGCGGCGUGCCUAACACAUGCAAGUCGAGCGGGAUCUUGCUAAAUGACGCUUCGGUUGAUUUUAGUAAGUGAGAGCGGCGGACGGGUGAGUAACGCGUAGGCAACCUGCCCUUUGCAGAGGGAUAGCCAUUGGAAACGAUGAUUAAAACCUCAUAAUGCCAGACUGAGACAUCUCUAACUGGCCAAAGAUUUAUCGGCAAAGGAUGGGCCUGCGUCUGAUUAGCUAGUUGGUGGGGUAACGGCCUACCAAGGCGACGAUCAGUAGCCGACCUGAGAGGGUGAUCGGCCACAUUGGAACUGAGACACGGUCCAAACUCCUACGGGAGGCAGCAGUGGGGAAUAUUGCACAAUGGGCGAAAGCCUGAUGCAGCAACGCCGCGUGAAGGAAGAAGUUUCGGAUUGUAAACUUCUUUUAAGAGGGACGAUAAUGACGGUACCUCUUGAAUAAGCCACGGCUAACUACGUGCCAGCAGCC